UAUCUCAAUUGAUAACACAACAUUACCUCGAGUCACACAUUUUAAGUACCUUGGUUCUAUGCUUACGACUGAUGCUCGCGUGGACGCAGAUGUCAGUCACAGAGUUAACACCGCCUGGAUGAAGUGGCGAUCGCUAACUGGAGUACUCUGUGACACCCGUAUGCCAGAAAGCAGGCUUAGAUGGUACGGCCACAUCAUGAGACGAGAUGACCAUUUCCCAGUUAAAUCCGUCCUAAAUAUCCCCACUAAAUCCUUGGGAAGAGGAAGACCUCCCGACACAUGGUGGUCCAAUAUCAAGCGGGAGAUGAAAGCCCAGAACCUUACCCCUAUGACAACCCAGGAUAGAGCGUCCUGGCGCCGCCGUACAAGGAGGCCCGACCCCAGAUAGAACUGGGACUAAGG